GAUGAACGCUGGCGGCGUGCCUAAUACAUGCAAGUCGAGCGAACAGACGAGGAGCUUGCUCCUCUGACGUUAGCGGCGGACGGGUGAGUAACACGUGGAUAACCUACCUAUAAGACUGGGAUAACUUCGGGAAACCGGAGCUAAUACCGGAUAAUAUAUUGAACCGCAUGGUUCAAUAGUGAAAGACGGUUUUGCUGUCACUUAUAGAUGGAUCCGCGCCGCAUUAGCUAGUUGGUAAGGUAACGGCUUACCAAGGCAACGAUGCGUAGCCGACCUGAGAGGGUGAUCGGCCACACUGGAGCUGGGACACGGUCCAGGCUCCUACGGGAGGCAGCAGUAGGGAAUCUUCCGCAAUGGGCGAAAGCCUGACGGAGCAACGCCGCGUGAGUGAUGAAGGUCUUCGGAUCGUAAAACUCUGUUAUUAGGGAAGAACAAAUGUGUAAGUAACUAUGCACGUCUUGACGGUACCUGAUCAGAAAGCCACGGCUAACUACGUG
rnacentral:rRNA from 1 species